rnacentral:lncRNA from 1 species
CUCAUAAAAGUGACAAUUAGCAAAACGAACGGUAAAGAUAUUGCAUGUCAAAAGGUUAUAAGUAACGAAUAUUAGAAGGAGAAUCAUAACCGACAUAGAUUUCUAGCCUUAUCUGAUGACCCUUUUUAUUUGUACGUAAGGGCGACACAAAUGGCACAUAGACCGCACAACCAAAGACACGCAUAUGAGAUAUGUCGAGUUCAUAUCUGGUAACCAACUAACACGUUUUAUAAGGUUGGAUGGUGAUGGGCCUUAGGCGGACCAACAUGGUUGCUUGCAAUAUUGCAUGGCCCCAAGCAGAGAUCGAGAACUUGGUACGUAUGACCAAUCGAUCGUGCAAUCAUUUGAAGGCGUUUAAUGAAUACUUCUGCUGGGUCGUUCUGGGUAUGAACAUGAGGUAUUAGAUGUUCAACUUCAAAACCCAACUGACAUGCAAUAUCCAUCAAAAGUUUUCGAUGUAAAUUCUCCAACAUAUCUAAUUGAAUUGAUUUGAUCAGAUAAUCAGGGUGGUGAGCCCUGAGCUUGUUAAUCUGAGCCACCAAUGUGGAUAAGGCAGCUAGUGGACAAUAGUCACACGUGACCAACGUGUAGAAGCAUCAACCAAUACUGUAAGGUAUCUAAAUGGUCUGCAGGGUGGUUGAAUCAAUCCACAAUUGUCCCCUUGAAUCUUUUGCAGAAAAGAUGGAGGGUGCUAUGGCAUGAUAUGCUUCCAGGUAUGUCUUUACUUUUAGAAAAAGUAUGCCCAAAACGGCUCAUCACAAAUCAUCCUAGAUAUCCCAAACGUACAUCCAUAGAGAAUAUUUCUUUGGAAUCUUGGGCUUUUAGCGGGCCACAUAGUGAGCCUGAAUGGGUGUUAAUCUACUCGAUAAGCGUUCCAUCUUUUCUAGAACACACUUCUAACUAUAUUCGUAGGAAGUGCAAUAUGGUAAUAUGCGAAGGAAUUUUACUCCAUUUUCUACAUUGGUUUCAAUAUGGUAAUAAUACUCUUAAAUAUCCUUAAAGCUUAAAUAGGCGUUCUUUUGGAACGAAGUGAGUAUAAGGCUUCCCUUUAUGGUAAAAUUAGUACCAUUGGACAAUAUAGGGCAGUGCUAUGCCCCACAAUCAGGUUGGAUAAGCCUGAAAGGUUGUCAAGGGAUGAUUAGGUAUGAAGUUAGCACAGAACUAGAUUGCUAACUUCCCCACAAAACAUACCUAAGCAUGAGUUAAUUGUAUUAGUCACAUGUGGUAAUUUCGUUAAUUAACUCUUACUUGAGAAUAAUCGUGACAUACAAACACCAAUCUUAAAUUCAAGAACAAAAUAAAUUAUUCAUAAAGUAAACCAAAUAUACAAGGGGGUUUGGCCAAUACGGCCUUCCAUGUCAAAUUUCGCUAGCCAAAUGUGUUAGGUGGAGCAAAAUUAGUCUCACAGAUUGACUAUGGGAAUGAUACUCCUCAACAAUAUUGUAAAAGCACAGAAAAUUGCAUAACCAAUGAUCUAUUCCGUAAAAAAGGAGUUAAAUUCUGCAGGGUUAAGGUUCCUGAACACUAUCUCGUAUUCUUGAAGUUUUUAGGUCUUAUGUGCCAAUGAUUAUGCUUCAAGCAUGAUACCAUCUCUUGGUAGCCCCAGAUUCUACCAUAGGUUGUAAAACAAACUCGAAAUUAGAUUUUGAGAGAGAAAGAGAGAGAGACAAAGACAGAGACAGACCCAGACUUGGGUUCGGUAGGCUUCAGUAGAAAUUGGAGGGGUGAGUUCGGUAGCGUUUGCCAAAGUAGAGCAAAUUGUUCAAUGCACUUCUACCGAAGCAGAGCAUGCAAGUCGGUGCAUCCUUGCCGAAGUAGGGCACCACCAUUUGGUACACUCCAGUCGAAAUUGGGUUUAUACAGUUCGAUACCUCUCAGCCAAAUUGUUAGGGUACAUUUCUCUCAUAAGUGUGGUAGUAAUUAGAUCCAAGAAUUUGGUAAACUUCCACUCUUUAUACUGCUACUUCAAGAGCAAUUUAGAUAUUGAAGGACGAGAAAGAUUUUCUUCUAGUCGAAAUUCGAUCGAAUAUAAACUUCAGAAUUGUACCUAUUCAUGGACGUAAAAAGGUUUCAAUCAUGUUUUGCUUUGGGCAAUAAUUCAUCUUUGCAUAAUUUGAAACGAUCCAUAGUGAGUCAAAGAGCCAUGAAGUCCUCGGCAGUGAGGUACUUCCAUUUGACAUGCUUCAAGCAUAAGUCUUCGAAUGAAGAUCAUGGCGGAGGCUUAUUCAACUAUUCCACACCAUAACUAGCUACAAUGAUUUCGCAACGAGUCAUAGUCAAGUGGGGUGUCACGUCUUGUAUCUACAUAAAGUAGUUUCUUGUUCGAAACUUCUAAAUCAGUGAAAUCAAAAUUGUUACAGUUUGACAUUACGCUAAAUGGCGGAAACAAGAAAAUGAUUGGUGCUUUAGGAAAUAAAAUUUCCAUCAACAUCAAAGUUAGAACAUUCAGGGUCUAAGACAUGGUUUGGUUUAAACGGAUUUAAGCAUGGAGAACUUCAGGUCUCAACAUGAGUGUUACGCGUUAAGAAACUUGAGGUUUCUAUGGUAGUUUUUCGAAAGCAUGAACUUCAAGUUCAUAAUACCUGCAAACAAACGCAAUAUAUACAAGACAAAAAUAUGUAACAAAUAAAUGCAUGUAGGUCAUCAAGGCUUAUGAUAUUGAUUUAAUUAAUUAUUGUCUUCGGGCCAAUGAGAAGAAUUAGGAGGGAAAUAUAAACCCAAUAAAGCCUAAAAACGUUUAGGCUAUUAAAAUUGGUGGCCCAAAAUGGACCAAAGCCCAUGGUUUUUUUUUUUUUUUUGUAAUUUUGUAAAAAAAUAGAACCGUGAAAGUUAGGAGGUCCAAACCAAAAAAGUAAGGUGGGAAAGGCCAUCCCAUAUGCACAGAUAUAGGAUGCAGACGCAGGCCUAAAUGGCAAGGUCCAAAUAGGGUGCUAUCUUUUGUAUCAUGGACAUGGAUG